rnacentral:rRNA from 1 species
AAAUUGAAGAGUUUGAUCAUGGCUCAGAUUGAACGCUGGCGGCAGGCCUAACACAUGCAAGUCGAGCGGUAGCACAGAGAGCUUGCUCUCGGGUGACGAGCGGCGGACGGGUGAGUAAUGUCUGGGAAACUGCCUGAUGGAGGGGAUAACUACUGGAAACGGUAGCUAAUACCGCAUAACGUCGCAAGACCAAAGUGGGGGACCUUCGGGCCUCAUGCCAUCAGAUGUGCCCAGAUGGGAUUAGCUAGUAGGUGGGGUAACGGCUCACCUAGGCGACGAUCCCUAGCUGGUCUGAGAGGAUGACCAGCCACACUGGAACUGAGACACGGUCCAGACUCCUACGGGAGGCAGCAGUGGGGAAUAUUGCACAAUGGGCGCAAGCCUGAUGCAGCCAUGCCGCGUGUGUGAAGAAGGCCUUCGGGUUGUAAAGCACUUUCAGCGGGGAGGAAGGCGUUAAGGUUAAUAACCUUGGCGAUUGACGUUACCCGCAGAAGAAGCACCGGCUAACUCCGUGCCAGCAGCCGCGGUAAUACGGAGGGUGCAAGCGUUAAUCGGAAUUACUGGGCGUAAAGCGCACGCAGGCGGUCUGUCAAGUCGGAUGUGAAAUCCCCGGGCUCAACCUGGGAACUGCAUUCGAAACUGGCAGGCUAGAGUCUUGUAGAGGGGGGUAGAAUUCCAGGUGUAGCGGUGAAAUGCGUAGAGAUCUGGAGGAAUACCGGUGGCGAAGGCGGCCCCCUGGACAAAGACUGACGCUCAGGUGCGAAAGCGUGGGGAGCAAACAGGAUUAGAUACCCUGGUAGUCCACGCCGUAAACGAUGUCGAUUUGGAGGUUGUGCCCUUGAGGCGUGGCUUCCGGAGCUAACGCGUUAAAUCGACCGCCUGGGGAGUACGGCCGCAAGGUUAAAACUCAAAUGAAUUGACGGGGGCCCGCACAAGCGGUGGAGCAUGUGGUUUAAUUCGAUGCAACGCGAAGAACCUUACCUGGUCUUGACAUCCACAGAACUUUCCAGAGAUGGAUUGGUGCCUUCGGGAACUGUGAGACAGGUGCUGCAUGGCUGUCGUCAGCUCGUGUUGUGAAAUGUUGGGUUAAGUCCCGCAACGAGCGCAACCCUUAUCCUUUGUUGCCAGCGGUUAGGCCGGGAACUCAAAGGAGACUGCCAGUGAUAAACUGGAGGAAGGUGGGGAUGACGUCAAGUCAUCAUGGCCCUUACGACCAGGGCUACACACGUGCUACAAUGGCAUAUACAAAGAGAAGCGACCUCGCGAGAGCAAGCGGACCUCAUAAAGUAUGUCGUAGUCCGGAUUGGAGUCUGCAACUCGACUCCAUGAAGUCGGAAUCGCUAGUAAUCGUAGAUCAGAAUGCUACGGUGAAUACGUUCCCGGGCCUUGUACACACCGCCCGUCACACCAUGGGAGUGGGUUGCAAAAGAAGUAGGUAGCUUAACCUUCGGGAGGGCGCUUACCACUUUGUGAUUCAUGACUGGGGUGAAGUCGUAACAAGGUAACCGUAGGGGAACCUGCGGUUGGAUCACCUCCUUA